rnacentral:rRNA from 1 species
GUGGUUUCGAGCUCACUCAUCACCCUGUGACAUACCUAUAACGUUGCCUCGGCGGGAACAGACGGCCCCGUAACACGGGCCGCCCCCGCCAGAGGACCCCCUAACUCUGUUUCUAUAAUGUUUCUUCUGAGUAAACAAGCAAAUAAAUUAAAACUUUCAACAACGGAUCUCUUGGCUCUGGCAUCGAUGAAGAACGCAGCGAAAUGCGAUAAGUAAUGUGAAUUGCAGAAUUCAGUGAAUCAUCGAAUCUUUGAACGCACAUUGCGCCCGCCAGUAUUCUGGCGGGCAUGCCUGUUCGAGCGUCAUUACAACCCUCAGGCCCCCGGGCCUGGCGUUGGGGAUCGGCGGAAGCCCCCUGCGGGCACAACGCCGUCCCCCAAAUACAGUGGCGGUCCCGCCGCAGCUUCCAUUGCGUAGUAGCUAACACCUCGCAACUGGAGAGCGGCGCGGCCACGCCGUAAAACACCCAACUUCUGAAUGUUGACCUCGAAUCAGGUAGGAAUACCCGCUGAACUUAAGCAUAUCAAUCCCCCCGGAGGAAA